rnacentral:rRNA from 1 species
GAUGAACGCUGGCGGCGUGCCUAAUACAUGCAAGUCGAGCGAACAGACGAGGAGCUUGCUCCUCUGACGUUAGCGGCGGACGGGUGAGUAACACGUGGAUAACCUACCUAUAAUACUGGGAUAACUUCGGGAAACCGGAGCUAAUACCGGAUAAUAUAUUGAACCGCAUGGUUCAAUAGUGAAAGACGGUUUUGCUGUCACUUAUAGAUGGAUCCGCGCCGCAUUAGCUAGUUGGUAAGGUAACGGCUUACCAAGGCAACGAUGCGUAGCCGACCUGAGAGGGUGGUCGGCCACACUGGAACUGAGACACGGUCCAGACUCCUGCGGGAGGCAGCAGUAGGGAAUCUUACGCAAUGGGCGAAAGCCUGACGGAGCAACGCCGAGUGAGUGAUGAAGGUCUUCGGAUCGUAAAACUCUGUUAUUAGGGAAGAACAAAUGUGUAAGUAACUAUGCACGUCUUGACGGUACCUAAUCAGAAAGCCACGGCUAACUACGUG